rnacentral:rRNA from 1 species
GGACCCGCACAAGCAGCGGAGCAUGUGGUUUAAUUCGAAGCAACGCGAAGAACCUUACCAGGGCUUGACAUGCCCCUGACCGGUGUAGAGAUACACCUUUACCUUCGGGUACAGGGGACACAGGUGGUGCAUGGUUGUCGUCAGCUCGUGUCGUGAGAUGUUGGGUUAAGUCCCGUAACGAGCGCAACCCCUGUUUUUAGUUGCCAUCAUUAAGUUGGGCACUCUAAAGAGACUGCCGAUGAUAAAUCGGAGGAAGGUGGGGAUGACGUCAAAUCAUCAUGCCCUUUAUGUCCUGGGCUACACACGUGCUACAAUGGUCGAUACAACGAGGAGCAACACAGCGAUGUGAAGCAAAUCUCUUAAAGUCGAUCUCAGUUCGGAUUGCAGGCUGCAACUCGCCUGCAUGAAGCCGGAGUUGCUAGUAAUCGCGAAUCAGAAUGUCGCGGUGAAUGCGUUCCCGGGUCUU